UACGGGGGGGGCAAGCGUUGUUCGGAAUUACUGGGCGUAAAGGGCUCGUAGGCGGCCAACUAAGUCAGACGUGAAAUCCCUCGGCUUAACCGGGGAACUGCGUCUGAUACUGGAUGGCUUGAGUUUGGGAGAGGGAUGCGGAAUUCCAGGUGUAGCGGUGAAAUGCGUAGAUAUCUGGAGGAACACCGGUGGCGAAGGCGGCAUCCUGGACCAACACUGACGCUGAGGAACGAGAGCCAGGGUAGCAAAAGGG
rnacentral:rRNA from 1 species